UUGCUGCGGCUGCACCGUCACCAGAGGGACCAGGGACAGUGGCCGAGGAAUGCGGCUGCAGACGUCGGUAAGGGCCCGCUCGCCGCGGAAUGUGGACCUUAGCCCAUAGGCGGCGGGGGGAAGAGACACGGUGGCGCUAUCCUCGAGCACCUCCCCUUGUGCAGAAGACAGUGGAUUAUUGAAGACGUAACUAACUAGCCCAGCUGCCUGGGGCCCGGAGGCAGGUGGGGUCGGGAAGGGUCUCCGGAGGGCUUGGCCAUCGAGGAGGCUGCUGACCUCGGAGAGAGAACCGCCGGGCGUCGUGGGACGUGGAGAGGGGACGUCUCAGCAUCUUGGUGGAGACACUUUGGGGUUUAGGAAACCAGACAACAGGACGUGCUGCAGGGGGGCUGCUCAAGCGUUCUGUGCAUCAAGGGGAAGAAGUCCAUCACGGGGUCUGCGAAGGCGAGAGGGGCCUGGAGCCCAGAGCGCAGGUGCAGGGGUUGGUCUUCAGCAGGACCGAGGACAGAUUAUCCAUUGACGCUACGGGCGAUGACCCAGAAUUCACAAGAGGUAGCUGGCCUUUCUCUCACUAUAAAGGAGGAAAAAGAAUGUUUCCUCUGACG